AGUGAACGCUGGCGGUAGGCCUAACACAUGCAAGUCGAACGGCAGCACAGUAAGAGCUUGCUCUUACGGGUGGCGAGUGGCGGACGGGUGCGGAAUACAUCGGAAUCUACUUUUUCGUGGGGGAUAACGUAGGGAAACUUACGCUAAUACCGCAUACGACCUACGGGUGAAAGCCGGGGAUCUUCGGACCUUUCGCGAUUGAAUGAGCCGAUGUCGGCUUAGCUAGUUGGCGGGGUAAAGGCCCACCAAGGCGACGAUCCGUAGCUGGUCUGAGAGGAUGAUCAGCCACACUGGAACUGAGACACGGUCCAGACUCCUACGGGAGGCAGCAGUGGGGAAUAUUGGACAAUGGGCGAAAGCCUGAUCCAGCCAUACCGCGUGGGUGAAGAAGGCCUUCGGGUUGUAAAGCCCUUUUGUUGGGAAAGAAAAGCAGCAGGUUAAUACCCCGCUGUUCUGACGGUACCCAAAGAAUAAGCACCGGCUAACUUCGUG
rnacentral:rRNA from 1 species